GAUGAACGCUGGCGGCGUGCUUAACACAUGCAAGUCGAACGAGAAGUGAAGACGGAAACCUUCGGGCGGAAGGCUUUAUUUCGAGUGGCGGACGGGUGAGUAACGCGUGGGUAACCUGCCUCAUACAGGGGGAUAACAGUUGGAAACGACUGUUAAUACCGCAUAAGACCACAGCACCGCAUGGUGCGGGGGUAAAAACUCCGGUGGUAUGAGAUGGACCCGCGUUCGAUUAGCCAGUUGGCGGGGUAACGGCCCACCGAAGCGACGAUCGAUAGCCGAUCUGAGAGGAUGACCGGCCACAUUGGGACUGAGACACGGCCCAAACUCCUACGGGAAGCAGCAGUGGGGAAUAUUGCACAAUGGGGGAAACCCUGAUGCAGCGACGCCGCGUGAGUGAAGAAGUAUUUCGGUAUGUAAAGCUCUAUCAGCAGGGAAGAAAAUGACGGUACCUGAGUAAGAAGCCCCGGCUAACUACGUG
rnacentral:rRNA from 1 species